AAUACAUCGGAACGUGCCUAGUAGUGGGGGAUAACUACUCGAAAGAGUGGCUAAUACCGCAUGAGAUCUACGGAUGAAAGCAGGGGAUCGCAAGACCUUGUGCUACUAGAGCGGCCGAUGGCAGAUUAGGUAGUUGGUGGGAUAAAAGCUUACCAAGCCGACGAUCUGUAGCUGGUCUGAGAGGACGAUCAGCCACACUGGGACUGAGACACGGCCCAGACUCCUACGGGAGGCAGCAGUGGGGAAUUUUGGACAAUGGGCGCAAGCCUGAUCCAGCAAUGCCGCGUGCAGGAUGAAGGCCUUCGGGUUGUAAACUGCUUUUGUACGGAACGAAAAGCCCUGGGUUAAUACCCUGGGGUCAUGACGGUACCGUAAGAAUAAGCACCGGCUAACUACGUGCCAGCAGCCGCGGUAAUACGUAGGGUGCGAGCGUUAAUCGGAAUUACUGGGCGUAAAGCGUGCGCAGGCGGUUUUGUAAGACAGGGGUGAAAUCCCCGGGCUCAACCUGGGAACUGCCUUUGUGACUGCAAGGCUAGAGUACGGCAGAGGGGGAUGGAAUUCCGCGUGUAGCAGUGAAAUGCGUAGAUAUGCGGAGG
rnacentral:rRNA from 1 species